UACGUAGGGUGCAAGCGUUGUCCGGAAUUAUUGGGCGUAAAGAGCUCGUAGGCGGUUUGUUGCGUCGGCUGUGAAAUCCCGAGGCUCAACCUCGGGUCUGCAGUCGAUACGAGCAAACUAGAGUGUUGCAGGGGAGACUGGAAUUCCUGGUGUAGCGGUGAAAUGCGCAGAUAUCAGGAGGAACACCGAUGGCGAAGGCAGGUCUCUGGGCCGAAAUUGACGCUGGAGGAAGCGAAAGCCGUGGGGAGCAAACAGG
rnacentral:rRNA from 1 species